AUGAAUGGCCUCUGGGCCUUCAACCUUGCAAACCUGUGGAAGCAACAUGUGCUUCGGCGCUCCGGCGUCGCUUUUAUGCUACGAAUCAGUCUUUGUGUCUGAAUCAAACAAAAGAAAAUA
rnacentral:misc_RNA from 1 species